rnacentral:rRNA from 1 species
CAGUAGCCGCGGGAAUACGUAGGUGGCAAGCGUUGUCCGGAAUUAUUGGGCGUAAAGGGCUCGCAGGCGGUUUCUUAAGUCUGAUGUGAAAGCCCCCGGCUCAACCGGGGAGGGUCAUUGGAAACUGGGAAACUUGAGUGCAGAAGAGGAGAGUGGAAUUCCACGUGUAGCGGUGAAAUGCGUAGAGAUGUGGGGGAACACCAGUGGCGAAGGCGACUCUCUGGUCUGUAACUGACGCUGAGGAGCGAAAGCGUGGGGAGCGAACAGGAUUAGAUACCCCAGUAGUCCCUGUCUCUUAUAC